rnacentral:rRNA from 1 species
CGGCGGACGGGUUAGUAACACGUGGAUAACCUACCUAUAAGACUGGGAUAACUUCGGGAAACCGGAGCUAAUACCGGAUAAUAUAUUGAACCGCAUGGUUCAAUAGUGAAAGACGGUUUUGCUGUCACUUAUAGAUGGAUCCGCGCUGCAUUAGCUAGUUGGUAAGGUAACGGCUUACCAAGGCAACGAUGCGUAGCCGACCUGAGAGGGUGAUCGGCCACACUGGAACUGAGACACGGUCCAGACUCCUACGGGAGGCAGCAGGG